GACAUAGGUGGCGAACGUUAUCCGGAAUUACUGGGCGUAAAGGGCUCGUAGGCGGCCAACUAAGUCGGAUGUGAAAUCCCCAGGCUUAACCUGGGAACUGCAUCCGAUACUGGAUGGCUUGAAUUCGGGAGAGGGAUGCAGAAUUCCAGGUGUAGCGGUGAAAUGCGUAGAUAUCUGGAGGAAUACCGGUGGCGAAGGCGGCAUCCUGGACCGACAUUGACGCUGAGGAGCGAAAGCUAGGGGAGCAAACGGG
rnacentral:rRNA from 1 species